UAGAAAUUAAAGGAGUAAGAGUUAAUAUGUGAGAGAACAUUGUGCUUAUGUUUGGUUCAGCAUAAAUAACUUUCUAUUAAGUGUUCUUUUGAAGCUAUUGAAUCAUUGAUCGUACUAGUGUCCAUUUCUGCUUAAAAUCUAAACACAAGAAAUUAUGACUUGAAAUUUGAUAGAAAAAGCUUUACAAGAGCAAUAUGUAACAAGCUUACACAGUGAAUUCAACAAGCUUACACAAACCACAAGCUUACACCGCAAACCACAAGCUUACACAGUGAAUUCAACAGGCCACAAGCUUACAUAGUGAAUUCAACAAAUUCAAAAAAUCUAACAAGCUUAC
rnacentral:lncRNA from 1 species